AUACUUACCUGGCAGGGGAGAUGCCAUGAUCUCGAAGGUGGUUUUCCCAGGGCGAGGCCCACCCAUUGCACCCCGGAUGCGCUGACCCCUGCCAUUUCCCCAAAUGUGGGAAACCUGACCGCAUAAUGUGUGGUCGUGGGGGACUGUGUUCGUGCUCUACCCUG
ensembl:snRNA U1 U1 spliceosomal RNA